AUUGAACGCUGGCGGCAUGCCUUACACAUGCAAGUCGAACGGUAACAGGUUAAGCUGACGAGUGGCGAACGGGUGAGUAAUAUAUCGGAACGUGCCCAGUCGUGGGGGAUAACGUAGCGAAAGCUACGCUAAUACCGCAUACGAUCUACGGAUGAAAGCGGGGGAUCGCAAGACCUCGCGCGAUUGGAGCGGCCGAUAUCAGAUUAGGUUGUUGGUGAGGUAAAAGCUCACCAAGCCUGCGAUCUGUAGCUGGUCUGAGAGGACGACCAGCCACACUGGAACUGAGACACGGUCCAGACUCCUACGGGAGGCAGCAGUGGGGAAUUUUGGACAAUGGACGCAAGUCUGAUCCAGCAAUGCCGCGUGCAGGACGAAGGCCUUCGGGUUGUAAACUGCUUUUGUACGGAACGAAACGGUGAGCUCUAAUACAGUUUGCUAAUGACGGUACCGUAAGAAUAAGCACCGGCUAACUACGUGCCAGCCGCCGCAGUAA
rnacentral:rRNA from 1 species